GUGAAACGUAUGUAUCACAAUAAGGCUUUAUACAAAUGAGUAUUUUGUCAAUGAGAUGUCUUCACAUGGAUUCCUGAGAUGCAGAGAUCAAACCUUGUUUCUAGUGUGAUUCAGUUAAAAGCGUUUGGUAUGGAUAAUAUCUUAGAAUUCGAUUGGCCAGCAUCACCAUCACCUGAAGAGUUGUUUAGGGCUCUUUAAGUACUUUAUUCACUUGGAGUCCUUGAUGAUGCUAAACUUCACCAGUGGGAUUCCAAGUUGCAGAGCUAGCAUUGGAUCUCAUGAUAUCAAAGAUGACCAUAGCUUCCGACCAACUUAUAUUUUCCAAAGAAAUCAUUAGUGUCUGCUAUCCUGUCAGUUCAGUCAAUAUUGAUAUCCGUGAAGGGGCAGAAGGAGCUGGAUGAAGCCAAAUUGAGGUUCACUGAAGCAGAGGUAUGUCAUUGGUGGCAGAUAGCUAGAGUUUGUUUUAUUUAGCGUUGAUUUGUCCUUUGUUUAUAUCAAGCUUAUAAAUAAAUCGACAUUCAUAUAUAAUUGGUUGGUUGGUUGUGCAAAAUCACUUAAUCAGCAAUUAGCUCCAAGCCUCCAAGUUCUUACAAAUCUAUUG